UAAAACCUUCAGAAGGAAAGGAGAAUGUUUUAUGGACCAUUUGUUUGUUGUG
rnacentral:miRNA from 1 species